UACGAAGGGGGCUAGCGUUGCUCGGAAUCACUGGGCGUAGAGCGCACGUAGGCGGAUCGUUAAGUCAGGGGUGAAAUCCUGGAGCUCAACUCCAGAACUGCCUUUGAUACUGGCGACCUUGAGUUCGGGAGAGGUGAGUGGAACUGCGAGUGUAGAGGUGAAAUUCGUAGAUAUUCGCAAGAACACCAGUGGCGAAGGCGGCUCACUGGCCCGAUACUGACGCUGAGGUGCGAAAGCGUGGGGAGCAAACAGG
rnacentral:rRNA from 1 species